UGAGGAAUAUUGGUCAAUGGGCGAGAGCCUGAACCAGCCAAGUAGCGUGCAGGAUGACGGCCCUAUGGGUUGUAAACUGCUUUUAUAUGGGAAUAAAGUGAGGGACGUGUCCCUUAUUGCAUGUACCAUACGAAUAAGGACCGGCUAAUUCCGUGCCAGCAGCCGCGGUAAUACGGAAGGUCCGGGCGUUAUCCGGAUUUAUUGGGUUUAAAGGGAGCGUAGGCUGUCUAUUAAGCGUGUUGUGAAAUAUACCGGCUCAACCGGUGGCUUGCAGCGCGAACUGGUCGACUUGAGUAUGCAGGAAGUAGGCGGAAUUCAUGGUGUAGCGGUGAAAUGCUUAGAUAUCAUGACGAACUCCGAUUGCGCAGGCAGCUUACUGUAGCAUAACUGACGCUGAUGCUCGAAAGUGCGGGUAUCAAACAGG
rnacentral:rRNA from 1 species